CUUGACACGUUUCUUAACAUUUGAUACCCUAUAUUCUUUCGUACACGUUUAAGCUUGAAUCAAUUAUCCACUAUGCCGAAAUUGAUGACCUCCGUUGUAGUAUUCUCGGCUAUUGCAAUGACUUUGUUCUUCAUUUUGUCCGUACGUGUAACUCAUCUUAUAGCGUCGCUAACUUCUAAGGGCAAUGACACAGAUGGAGGUAAUAGCACCAAUGCAUCAGAACCGGCACCCGAGGAACCAGAGGAGCCUGGGAGGAAACUCAAACGUCACCCCGGUCUUUACAAUGAAGGCAGAAUUAAAUAUGUGACAUUGCCGGUGAAAUCAGUAAAUAAUCGUAAAGUCAGAAAAGGGGUAUUGGCCACUAAAUCAUACAGGAAUGCAAAUCAUUCUAGUCUGGAUCGUCAAGGCAGGGGUGAUUACGUGAAAAUUAACGAAACAAUAAAUAUUAACCGAGCAAUGGCUACCAGUACACCUGUUAAAACUUUCAAAUCAGAUAAUAUAAAAGGAACAAACACUAGUAUAUCACUAACUGAACCCGUUACGAUUACAACCACUGGUCCUAUUAAACCCAUUCCUUCUAGUAUUAUUUAAUCAAUUGGAAGAAGCCGAAAGAAGAAUACCUAUAUUACAAUAAAAGUACUGAUCUAGGAUCUAAAGCAGUAUUGGAAGAAAAUUAUGAAAUUAAAGUAUGAAUUGAAAUGUGAUACAUUUAUUUAGAUAA